UUGCACAUUUUUAGUGGAGGAAUGAAUAUGUUCAUGCCUCCAUCCAAAUAGAGCUCUAAGAUGCUGCUGUGUGUAUGUUCUUCCAUGUUUUUUGUGUCCCUCUGGAACCAUUUCAGCAUUGAUACCUCAUAGAAAAGCUAUAUAAGAUGACUAAUCCACAUAGGAUAGCUAAUCUUGGCAUUAAGACUUGUAUUUAUAGAAGGAGAUGCUCAUCCUUGCCUUUGGUGUAAGUGUUGCUUGUGGC
rnacentral:lncRNA from 1 species